rnacentral:misc_RNA from 1 species
UCCCCGUUACCGGGGCAGUCUGAAUAGAAAAAUCCAACUAUUCAUAAGGGUUGCGCUCGUUAAUGGACUUAACCAAACAUCUCACGACACGAGCUGACGACGGCCAUGCAUCAUCUGUCACUAGGUUCCCGAAGGCACUCUCUGCUUUCACAGAAAUUCCUAGGAUGUCAAACCCUGGUAAGGUUCUUCGCUUAGCCUCGAAUUAAACAACACGCUCCACCGCUUGUGCGGGUCCCCGUCAAUUCCUUUGAGUUUUAGCCUUGCGGCCGUACUCCCCAGGCGGGGCGCUUAAUGCGUUAGCUACGGCACGGAUCCCGUGGAAGGAAACCCACACCUAGCGCCCACCGUUUACGGCGUGGACUAC